rnacentral:lncRNA from 1 species
GGAAGAAAAUGCAGUUUAUAAAAGAGUAUCACAAUUGAGUAAGAACCAAAGUCUGUAAAUAAGCUCAAUUAAAUAAAAUAGCUGAAAGUCUGAUAGAUAACAUUAAUUCAGAGAAUAUUAGGCCUUGAAGACAAGGUAUCUGAACACUAAACAAUAAAAACAAAACAAAAAACCCUAUAAUCAGCAUACUCAAGAACUCUGAAACAACAUCAAGAAAUCUAACUUAAGGAUCAUUGGUAUUGAAGGAAAGAUACAGGUUAAUGACACUGAAAACCUAUUCAGUGAAAUAACAGAAGAAAAUUUCUCUAACCUUGGGACUGAGUUGGACAUUCAGAUAUAGGAGCCAUAUAGAACCCCAAAUAGACAAGAGCAGAAAAGAACCUCCCCAUGUCACAUUAUAGUUAAAAUGACUAAAUACACAAAGAAUUUUAAAAGCUGUGAAAGAAAUGACAGGUCACUUACAAAGGUAAACCAAUAAGAACACCACCAGUUUUCUUAAUAGAAACCCUAAAGGGCAGGAGGGCUUGAUGGGAUGUAUUUUGAGCCUUGCAGGAAAAUAUUUACCAACCUAGUUUGAUAUAUCCAGAAAAUCUUACAUAAUUAAAGAAUAAAAACUUUUCAAGAUAUACAUAAAUUAAAGGAAUUCAUGACCACUAAACUAGCACUGAAAAAGAUAUUUAAAGGAAUUUUACACAGAGAAGAUAAAAAACAAUGAGAGCUAAUACAAAUGCAUCUCAUUAGAAGAAGUGAUAAGCAAAUGAGAAUUAGGAUCAAAUCAAACACUAGAAAUAAAAUGUCAAAAAGUAAUACAUUUCUCUAUAAUAAUGCUGAUGAUACAUCGUCUUAAUUCUCCAAUUAAAAAAGACAGACUGGCAGAAUAAGAUCCAACUAUUGCCUGAGGGAAACAUACCUCACUGGCAAAGACAUUCACAGAUGGAAAAUAAUCCAUGCAAAUGGAACCCAGAAGCAAGAAGGAGCAGUACUCUCGGAACAGAUUUUAAGCCAAAAUUAGAAGAGACAAGGCCACUACAUAUUGGUAAAGGGAAUAAUCCAUAAAGAAGAAAUAAUGAUCAUAAAUAUUUAUUCCCUGAAUGUUGGCACACCCAGUUUCAUAAAACAAACUACUCAACAUAAAGGCUCAGCUAGUCCUCAAUGUGAUAACACUGGGUGAGUUCAAUACACCUCUAACAGGUCAUCCAGACAUGAAAUCAACAAAGAUACUACAGAGUUAAAAUUUAGCAUAUAUCAAAUGGAUGUACUUAGCAGACUUCUAAAGAAUAUUUCAUGAAACAACAGCUGCCCAUGAAACUGUCAUCAAAAAAGAUCAUCUUUUAGGCCACAAAGCUAGUCCUAGAAAAUACAGAAAGGCUGAAAUAAUUCCUUACAUCUUAUCUGAUCAUAAUGGAGUAAAAUUAGAAAUCAACAGCAAAAACAACAACAACAACAAAAAACCCCAACCCUCCUCCGCCCCAAAAACCCUAUAGAAACUACACAAACACAUGGAGAUUCUUAGAAUCAAACAAGAACAGAAAUACAAUCUAUAAAAACCUGUGGAAUACAGUAAAGGCUGUUCUAAGAGAAAAAUUUAUAGUUCUGUAUACCUACAUAAAUAAAUAUGUCAGAAAGAUCUCAAGUACAUUACCUAAUGAUAUAUCUCAAGGUCUUAGAAAAACAAGAACAAACCAAUGAUAGAAUCAGUGGAAGGAAAGAAAAAACAAAGAUGAGAGCUGAAAUUAAUGAAACAGAGAAUUAAAAAAACAGUACUAAAGGGCUGGGGUUGUGGCUCAGUGGUAGAGUGCUUGCCUAGCACAGAUGAGGCACUGGGUUCGAUUCUCAGCACCACAUAUAAAUAAAUUAAUAAACAAAAUAAAGGUCCAUCAACAAUACUAAAGAUCAACUAAAAAUCAGCUCUUGAGUUUGGGGCUAUAGCUCAGUGGUAGAGUGCUCGCUUAGCACAUGUGAGGCCCUGUGUUUGAGCCUCAGCACCACAUACAAAUGAAUAAAUAAAGGUAUUAAAAAAAAAAAGAAUUCCCUUUUAAAAAAAAGGUCAGCUCUUUGAAAAGACCGAUAAACCCUUUUAAAAAAGACUCAAAUUAAUAAAAUUAGAGAUAAUAAAGAGGAUAUUAUAAUAAACACCACUGAAAUUCCAGAGGAUCAUUAGGAACUAUUUUUAAAAUCCAUAUUCCAAUCAAUUGGAAAAUCUAGAAGAAAUGAAUACAUUUCUAGAUACACAUGACCUAGGAAGUUGGAACCAGAAUCUAUAGAAAAUCUAAACAGACCAGUUUCAAGCAAUGAAAUAGAAACAGUAAUUUUAAAAAACCUCCCAGCAAAGAGCCCAGAACCAGAUGGAUUCACAGUUGAGUUUUACCAAAUUUUUAAAGAACACCAAUACUCUUCAAAUUAUUCUGAGAAACAGUGGGGGGGGGGAAUGCUUUUAAACUCAUUCUACAAAACCAAUAACACACUGAUACUAAAAACAUAAGGACACAUAAAGAAAAUAAAAUUACAGACCAAUGUCCAUGAAUAUAGGUACCAAACUCCUUAAUAAAAUAAUUGCAAAUUGAAUUCAGAAACACAUCAAAAAGAUCUACAUUAUAUGACCAACAUGGCUUCAUUCAGGGAUGCAAGGAUGGUUCAACAUUCAUAAACCUGUAAAUAUAAUACACCACAAAAAUGGAAUUAAGGACAAAAACUACAUGAUCCUCUCAACAGAUGCAGAAAAAGCCUUUGACAAAAUGCAACAUCCCUUCAUGAUGAAAUC